GUUUCCGUGGUGUAGCGGUUAUCACAUCUGCCUGGCAAGCAGAACAUCCCCAGUCCGAUCCUAGGCAGAAACA